rnacentral:rRNA from 1 species
CGUAGGUGGCAAGCGUUGUCCGGAUUUACUGGGCGUAAAGGGCGUGCAGGCGGUCUGUUAAGUCUAGGGUGAAAGCUCCCGGCUCAACUGGGAGAGGUCCUUGGAUACUGGCGGACUUGAGGGAUGCAGAGGAAAGUGGAAUUCCCGGUGUAGUGGUGAUAUGCGUAGAUAUCGGGAGGAACACCAGUGGCGAAGGCGGCUUUCUGGGCAUUACCUGUCGCUGAGACGCGAAAGCGUGGGGAGCGAACCGGAUUAGAUACCCGGGUAGUCCACGCUGUAAACGAUGGACACUAGGUGUAGGGGGUAUCGACCCCCUCUGUGCCGCAGCUAACGCAAUAAGUGUCCCGCCUGGGGAGUACGGCCGCAAGGCUA